rnacentral:rRNA from 1 species
ACACAGGUAGUCGAGGAGAGUAUCCUAAGGUGAGCGAGCGAACUCUCGUUAAGGAACUCGGCAAAAUGACCCCGUAACUUCGGGAGAAGGGGUGCUGACGACCGUCAGCCGCAGUGAAUAGGCCCAAGCGACUGUUUAUCAAAAACACAGGUCUCUGCAAAAUCGUAAGAUGAAGUAUAGGGGCUGACGCCUGCCCGGUGCUGGAAGGUUAAGAGGAUGGGUUAGCUUCGGCGAAGCUCAGAAUUGAAGCCCCAGUAAACGGCGGCCGUAACUAUAACGGUCCUAAGGUAGCGAAAUUCCUUGUCGGGUAAGUUCCGACCCGCACGAAAGGCGUAACGAUUUGGGCACUGUCUCAACGAGAGACUCGGUGAAAUUUUAGUACCUGUGAAGAUGCAGGUUACCCGCGACAGGACGGAAAGACCCCAUGGAGCUUUACUGUAGU